rnacentral:lncRNA from 1 species
UCUGGUCCCCUCCCUUUCUUCUCUCCUUCCUUUGUGUUGGGUUUAAUACAAGCAUGAAGGCAAGCAGCGGAAAGAAGACUAGCUCUUCACACGAGAAGAAACAGAAAGAAAUACCACCAAGAAGAGGUGAAAUUAAGGGAAAAAUUAUAGAUUCUCUACUUCAUAGCAUCAGCCUCCUUUCUAAGCGUCUCGUCUCUUAUGUUUUUUGUUGUUCAGAUUCCUCUAUUUAGUCCAGUUAUCUCUUUAUAAAUAUUGCUACAUUAAUGUGGCAUGUAGACUACCUUGUUUCUUCUCAUUGUAAACCUUUUUUUAAGUAAUAAUAGAAGUAUUCUUCUCUUCUCGAGUCUUUUUUUCUUUUUUUUAAAUUUUUCUUAAUGUUGCCUAUACCUAGCUUUGGACUGGUAUCGAUCCAUUUAAAAGGUAUUGUGAAGCACACGGAUCCUCUAUGGUGCAUGUGUAUGCAGCAUUGAUGAGCGCAGUGCAAUUAUGGAUGGCUGCCAUUAGUAGAUGGACAACCAUCAAACAAGAAGUGCAUGGGUACAAAUCGUGCCAUACAUGAUGUGUAUUGUUUGAUGGCCACCGUCCAUGGCUACAUUGCAAUGUGCAGAUGAUCUUGGUUAUAUUGUGAAAGGCAAGGAGAGGACUCAAGUGAAGGCGAUGUGUGUGAAGUCUGAUCCGUGCAAAUACGAGAUCUGACCUCGUUGAUGAGCCUGCCACAUAUCCAAAAUUUGGGCUGAGCAAAGGUCACUACCGAGUUUUAAUCCGCAUGGUUACUUGGUUGAUUGAUUCAUUUGGUUAGAAGUGUCACAGAUACGAGAUCGGUAUACGAGGGGUAAGCAAAGGCAUGCAACUUUGAGCAUACUGCAACAAGAAUUGGGGGGA